GCAUGUGAGGGCAAUAUGGCUGCAAUCUGUCACUCCAUUGAUCACUAGGAUUGAUUUGGCUGAUCUAGCUGGCUAGAUAGGUGUCCCUUUCCUCCCUCACUGCUCCAUGUGCCUUCCUCCCUGAGUAGCCUGCACACUCAGUCAGGGAGGAUGGAUGACUUUCCUGGAUAGAUGAGGAUCAUUCUUCAGUCAAGAAUAUAGGAAUAGCUGAGCUCCCCUACUAGAACCUCCAAUCUUUCAAGGUUCACUUGUAGGAAAAAAUAGGCUAAUCAACUUCCAAGACUCCAGAUAGAUUCAAAUGAGGCACUGCAUGUGGCAAUCUGCCUUUCUUU
rnacentral:snRNA from 1 species